UUCCUACUAUUGAACCUGACAUAUUAAUUUCAGAAGCUCUGUUGUCUUCUGCAAUAUCAUGUUGAUAUAUAUCAUGCUCACCAAUUCUCGGAACAUCUUAAACCUACUUAAGCUUUUGAAACUCAUCCCCUUGAUCUAUUUCCUUCCAGGGUGAUAUAUAUCAGAAACAUAUAUGAACCUGACAUCAACAUUCAUCUGCCCAUAUACAAACCGGAUAACAAAGGAUACGUAUACUUCGCCAAUCUCUAAGUAUCACCAAGGAGACAUGUACAAACCAAACAACUUAUCCCCAUGAAACAACAAUUCCUCAAACACAUUGAGUGGGAGUUUUAGGUCUUUAUCUGCAAUUUGACUCCAAGUUUUCAUUGAGAACAUCUUUCUUUCCCUAGUCUUUUGAAGCUAGUGAUCUUGAUAAAGUCUUUACAAACCCUGUUUGGGGUCAUUGUAGUGUAAACCAAAGUGUCCCCAGUUAUAUGAAUGUAGGCCACCAUAGCACCAUAGAUUCAUGGAGUUUCGCAUGUUUAUGCAAUUUGGAUCAAAUUAAGAUGAAGUUAAUGAGCUUCAAGAUGAAGUACAACACACUUUUUUGCCAUUUUUUAUGUGAUCAAAAUAAUUGCUAGUUGUAGAGGUUUAAUGGCAUUUGUCAAAUGUAACAUUCGUGGCGCCCAUUUGGAUGGUGCAGUUUGACAUGUAUUUGUUACAUAUUUUGCCUUGAUUGAAUUAUGAUUAAUUAGAAUUGAACCACCACUUAGUCAUGCCCAUUGUGAAAACUAUUAAAACUCAUUCGAUUUUUUGGGUCUUAUAGGGUGUUUGGUAAUCAUUCAUUAACUUAAUAACUUAAUUUAAUUAUUAAAUAGAUUAAAUAUAUUUGAUAAAAUAACUUAAUAUUAUAUCUUAAAGUUACUUUUAAUUUUAAGUGUUAAAUCAAAGUAAUUAACUUAUUCUUAAUCUCAAUUUUUUUUUUGUUUCAUUUAUCUGCAUCUAGUUAUCAAAUUAAUGAAGGUAAAUACGACAAUUUGAUAAUUUAAAAUGAUUUUUAAAUUAACUUUAUUAAAUAACUUUAAUACUUAAAGUAAAUAUUAAAUAAUAAAUUUUAAGUAAAUAACUUCAAUAUAAUCUAACUUAAAGUCAACUUAAGUUAUUAAGUAAUAAACAUUAAGUUUUAUCAAAUAUGCCUUAAUCAACAGCUUAAAUAUGAGAUCUCCUCUACUUAAAAUUCUCUAUUUAUUUAAUGAUAUAUAAACUUUUAUUAAAUAAGAAUAUUUACUUAAUGUGCCUAUAAAAAUAUUUCGAUGAAGUUUGUAUUAUUCAUUUAUUACUAUUUUAUACUUUUGAGAUAUUGAUUAAUAAGGUCAAUAAUUUAAUUUAGUGUAAUUACUCAUUACUUUAAUUGUCCAAAAAUAUGACAAAUUAAUAUAUCUCAACCAUGAUAUAAGUUUUUAUAUAUAGAGUAAAAAUGUUCAUACAAUAUGCCAUCUUUUGAUGAAUCUAAUUAAAAAAUGUAGUCUUAUCUUAUGAUUCACACCUUCUAAUCUUUUCUUAUUCUUUUAUAUUUUCUAGGUAUUAAUUAAUGAGAUCCUUAAUCUAAACAGUUUUUUUUUUCUCUCUCUCUAUAUAACACAUCUAAUCAAAUUAUGUACAUGAAUAUAUAAAGUCUCUUUUUCUAUCGUUUAUUUUAAUUAAUGUAUUAGAGGUGUAUAUUUUUUUUUUUUGCAGAUGUUUAAGGGAUAAUGGAGUUGUGUUUCAUACUAGAGAUAGAAGGGCGACAAGGUUUAAUUUUCACUUUAUUACAUAUACGUUCCUUUGUCAAGGCUUUGAGUAUACAUUAAGCCAAGUCAUUUGAGUUGAAACACUUAUACAAUACCUAAAAUUGAAAUAUACCUAAUUUGAUAUUCCAUAUCGAAUAAGAAGAAAUUCAUGAUAUUAUACAUAUGAGCUGCUCUUAACCAUGUGGAUGCAAUUUAAAGUGAUGAUGAUCCAUUGAAAUUAAAAUAAAUAAUAUUUACACGAUUGGAAGAAUCAUUAUACCCUACUGUCACUUAACCGUCGAGCACCAACCCAAGCAUUCCUCUAUUAACUUCACAACAAGAUGAGAACAAAAAUCAAACUACCCUAAAUUUCUUUCUUUCUUUAUUUUUCUUGUAUCCUUUGUUUGGUUGUGGAGAAUGUGAAGGAACAAUCAAAAGUUUUGGCAUUAAUUUUAUAUCCACAUUAAUGGCUUCACUACCUAAACUUGAUAACAUAUAUCUAUAUAUAUAAAUGAUUUUUAAGUUUUGAUUUCAUUUCUUAGUUGGAGGAUUAUAUUUAAGUAUAUAUUAGAUGUUGUGCACAAACUCUGGUCAAUUAAAAGUUUUUUACAAUAUAAUUAAUUUUACCUUUAAAAUAAAUUAAUAUUAGAUGAGUAAUUUAAUAGGAUGAGACAAUUAAAAAAAUUAAAGAGAAUCCAACCAUUUAAUAGUGCAUGAUAUUCAACUUUCAUACAAUAUUUUAUUAAAUAUUUGAAACGUAAGCCAUGUAAUUAAUUUUGUUUUUUUCUAAUUUUUGUGGUAUUUUUUUAAUCCCCAAUUUCUAUUGAAUAAAUAAAAAUAUUGAUAACAAUUAAUAUGAUGACAUCUUUGGACUACCUAAUGUUGUUAUCCACUGUCAUGUCCCAAUUCAGAAAUGUUAACCCGAUUGCCUUUCAAAGCUCGCACAUUGUGUGAUGUUAGAUGAGCUUUCCCCGUCUCUUAAGAUUGACUAACCCAUGUGCAAGUGUUGUUCACAUGGAACCUUCCCAUCACAAUGAAAUUUCAAAGAUUACUCGGACUUGUCAAUCAAGGUUAUAGAUUCAUUGAAUACAUUAAUGUAACACACAUGUGCCUAAAACAUAUAAGGGCAUCACAGACAUAUUAUCACCUCAAACUUCCCUGGCCUAAGCGAUCAUGGUCCCUCUAACAAGCUAGCUAUAGAGGUUCAUCUUCACAUAGCUAGUUAGCAAUCCUUUUAGUAUUAGUUUUUUUUUUGGGUUUGAAAAGACUAAAGAGCCCAUCAUAUGGUGACGUGGCACUACAAUAUUGUUGGACGAACAAAAAGUGUGAGUAACUGCAUAAACUCCGAUCUACGUGUAAUGCAUGCAAAAGAAAGUACAUGCAACGUGUGUAAAGCCCUCCAAUUUCCACACCAAAACCUCUCCUAACAAAAAUUAGUACCCAAAAUACCACCUCAAAGAGUGGGCCAUGCCUUAAAAUCUGGAGGAUAGUUUAGGUAUUUGAGAGACUACCACAAAUUUAAUACUAAAAUACCCCUAAAAAGAGCGCCAUGCCCUAAAAUUUGGAGGGCUUUUUUGGGAUAUGUAGAGAAUAAUGUGGGCUCAGCAAUGGGUUUUCUUUUUGUAUAAAGGAGAUGAUGCUUUGUAGAAAAGAAUCAAAAGCAAAAAUGGUGAUUAGAGGGUCUCUUCUUGUGUUAUUCUUUGCUAUUGUUGGAUCAGUGGCCCCAAAUAUUUCAGAUAUCUCUAGCUAUUGGUUUUGUUUAACAUCCUUUAUUGGCAAUUGUCAUAGGGAAAUAUUCUAGAAACUUUUACCAUCUUACAUUUAGCCUCAAACAUUGUGUUAGCACAAGAAUCAUCUGUUGUGUUGGAAACAGCUCUGAUACCACUUGUUAUGCGGAGACAAUUGAACAAUAAACAACAAAACAACAAAAUAAACCAAAAAAUAAUUAACAUGAUUCAAGAAUGUGCUUACAUCCAUGGGAAGGGAAGAAAUCAACUCACUAUUAACCUAAUUUUUCUUUGCUUUCCAAGAGCCAAACCAAGGCUAAAUUUAUAGAAUUUCCCUUUCAAGUUAAGUUACAACAUUAGUUGAUAGCUUACAAGAGGUCAAUUCUAAUAUUUACACAUAAGACUCAAAGACAAUUUUGAGAAAACAAUAUUACAAUAGAUGGAAUACUCUUAGAAGAUUUUAGAAAUACCACUUAUCAUCAACUGCUAUUAUUCCAUUUGACACAACACUGCAUGAUUGGGAUGCAGAAAACAUGCAUCUCCAUGCACACACAUAAAUUUGGUCUUGCGGGGUUAUCUACUGUUCCUCUAACGAUGGUUUCUGGGAGUGAAUAGAUUGCUUUACUUUAUUCCCAUAAAAACUAACCACUAGAAGGUGUCAUAAAUUCUUGAAAUUAUGGGAUCAGAAAUGGUUGCACAUGCAGGUUAUAUUUGUACAAUAAGAAGUUUGAAAGAGUAACUAGUUCCAAUUGAUUGUUACCUCUAAAAGUGUUCCAAACCCAGAAGGCAGUAGCUUGGAAAGACUUCCUUGGGAUAAUGGAAGUUUGUUUGCUUGGUUGAUAAGAACUUAUUUCACCGUUCAUUAGUGCUGGUCUCAAG
rnacentral:lncRNA from 1 species